rnacentral:lncRNA from 1 species
UGAAAUGGUGCGUGGUGAGACCUGGCUCCCAAACACAAGCUAGAAGACAACCAAACAGCAACCAGGAAACGCUCUGAAAAAGCCCUAGAUAGCUGCCAGGCCCAGCUCAAGGGAGCAGAACUAAAGUUACAUGAUUCUGCUGUGGAUGUAUGAGCUCCACUCCAAUAAUUUAUUAUCAUGGUUGGAGACUUUGACUUGUCACUUUAUGACUUGAAAUAUGGCUCCAUGGUAAAUGCCCAUGAAGCUGAUUUUUAAAAUAUGGAUAUUACAGAUCUAAUUCUCACUUAGUUUAAAAGGUAGAAUAGGGUUCUCGUUUCAUAGAUCAUUUGUGUGAAUGUUGAUUUGUCAUGUCAUUGACAUCAUACACACAUGCUUACAUUUUGGAGGUUGCUAGUGUUUCCCAUUAAUGCUUCUGAAUUGAUGCCAAAGGAAAGCAUUGAUUAUAAAUUAGGUUCCUUGGUAUUAGUUGGUGCAUGAUCCUGACCCUUUUCAAGCUAUAUGAAAGGUAAUGAUGCUCUCAAAAGUCUGCAAAAUGGCUUAUUCAGGAAAGCAUAAUGGAUUAAAAAUCCAUUA